UACGUAGGGGGCGAGCGUUGUCCGGAGUUACUGGGCGUAAAGCGCACGCAGGCGGUCUGCUAAGUUUGGAGUGACAGUUGGUGGCUUAACUGCCAAAGUGCUACGAAAACUGACAGACUUGAGGGCUUCAGAGGGACACGGAAUUCCGGGUGGAGUGGUGAAAUGCGUAGAGAUCCGGAGGAACACCAAAGGCGAAGGCAGUGUCCUGGGGAGUACCUGACGCUCAGGUGCGAAAGCCAGGGGAGCGAACGGG
rnacentral:rRNA from 1 species